rnacentral:piRNA from 1 species
UCCACCCUAGCCUGACACAGAGGACACCCU